GACGAACGCUGGCGGCGUGCCUAAUACAUGCAAGUCGAACGCAUUUUCUUUCACCGUAGCUUGCUACACCGAAAGAAAAUGAAUGGCGAACGGGUGAGUAACACGUGGGUAACCUGCCCAUCAGCGGGGGAUAACACUUGGAAAUAGGUGCUAAUACCGCAUAAUUCCAUUUACUGCAUGGUAGAUGGAUGAAAGGCGCUUUCGCGUCACUGAUGGAUGGACCCGCGGUGCAUUAGCUAGUUGGUGGGGUAACGGCCUACCAAGGCUGCGAUGCAUAGCCGACCUGAGAGGGUGAUCGGCCACACUGGGACUGAGACACGGCCCAGACUCCUACGGGAGGCAGCAGUAGGGAAUCUUCGGCAAUGGACGCAAGUCUGACCGAGCAACGCCGCGUGAGUGAAGAAGGUUUUCGGAUCGUAAAACUCUGUUGUUAGAAAAGAACAAGGAUGAGAGUGGAAAGUUCAUCCCUUGACGGCAUCUAACCAGAAAGCCACGGCUAACUACGUGCCAGCCGCCGCCGUAA
rnacentral:rRNA from 1 species